ACUCCUACGGGAGGCAGCAGUAAGGAAUAUUGGUCAAUGGAGGCAACUCUGAACCAGCCAUGCCGCGUGCAGGAAGACGGCCCUCUGGGUUGUAAACUGCUUUUAUUCGGGAAUAAACCUUUGCUCGUGAGCGAAGCUGAAUGUACCGAAGGAAUAAGGAUCGGCUAACUCCGUGCCAGCAGCCGCGGUAAUACGGAGGAUCCAAGCGUUAUCCGGAUUUAUUGGGUUUAAAGGGUGCGUAGGCGGCCUGUUAAGUCAGGGGUGAAAGACGGUAGCUCAACUAUCGCAGUGCCCUUGAUACUGAUGGGCUUGAAUGGACUAGAGGUAGGCGGAAUGAGACAAGUAGCGGUGAAAUGCAUAGAUAUGUCUCAGAACACCGAUUGCGAAGGCAGCUUACUAUGGUCUUAUUGACGCUGAGGCACGAAAGCGUGGGGAUCGAACAGGAUUAGAUACCCUGGUAGGCUCUG
rnacentral:rRNA from 1 species